GACGAACGCUGGCGGCGUGCUUAACACAUGCAAGUCGAACGGAAAGGCCCUGCUUUUGUGGGGUGCUCGAGUGGCGAACGGGUGAGUAACACGUGAGUAACCUGCCCUUGACUUUGGGAUAACUUCAGGAAACUGGGGCUAAUACCGGAUAGGAGCUCCUGCUGCAUGGUGGGGGUUGGAACGUUUCGGCGGUUGGGGAUGGACUCGCGGCUUAUCAGCUUGUUGGUGGGGUAGUGGCUUACCAAGGCUUUGACGGGUAGCCGGCCUGAGAGGGUGACCGGCCACAUGGGGACUGAGAUACGGCCCAGACGCCUACGGGAGGCAGCAGGGGGGAAUAUUGCACAAUGGGCGGAAGCCGGAUGCAGCAACGCCGCGUGCGGGAUGACGGCCUUCGGGUUGUAAACCGCUUUCGCCUGUGACGAAGCGUGAGUGACGGUAAUGGGUAAAGAAGCACCGGCUAACUACGU
rnacentral:rRNA from 1 species